GACGAACGCUGGCGGCGUGCUUAAUACAUGCAAGUCAACUUGACUUUAGAUAGCAAUAUCGAAAAGUAGGGUGGCGCACGGGUGCGUAACGCGUAGGUAAUCUGCCCUGAGGUCUGACAUAACCCGUCGAAAGGCGGCUAACAUCAGAUGAUAUAUAAUCACGACAUCGUGGAAAUAUCAAAUCUUCGGAGCCUUGGGAUGAGCCUGCGUCUGAUUAGGUAGUUGGCGGAGUAAUAGCCCACCAAGCCUACGAUCAGUAGCUGGUCUGAGAGGAUGAUCAGCCACACUGGAACUGAGACACGGUCCAGACUCCUACGGGAGGCAGCAGUAAGGAAUAUUGCUCAAUGGGGGAAACCCUGAAGCAGCAACGCCGCGUGAAGGAUGAAAUACUUUUGUAUGUAAACUUCUGUAAGAUGGGAAAAAUAUUCUCCUCGGGAGAAUUGAUUGUACCAUCAGAGUAAGCCCCGGCUAACUACGUGCCAGCAGCCG
rnacentral:rRNA from 1 species